rnacentral:rRNA from 1 species
UGGGGAAUAUUGCGCAAUGGACGAAAGUCUGACGCAGCGACGCCGCGUGAGGGAAGAAGGCCCUAGGGUUGUAAACCUCUGUCAGGAGGGAAGAAGUUUCAUGGUGCCAAUCAGCCAUGGAUUGACGGUACCUCCAAAGGAAGCACCGGCUAACUCCGUGCCAGCAGCCGCGGUAAUACGGAGGGUGCAAGCGUUAAUCGGAAUUACUGGGCGUAAAGCGCUCGUAGGCUGUCAUGUAAGUCAGGGGUGAAAGCCCACGGCUCACCCGUGGAACUGCCCUUGAUACUGCGUGACUGGAGUCCGGGAGAGGAUGGCGGAAUUCCAGGUGUAGGAGUGAAAUCCGUAGAUAUCUGGAGGAACAUCAGUGGCGAAGGCGGCCAUCUGGACCGGAACUGACGCUGAGGAGCGAAAGCGUGGGUAGCAAACAGG